CAAGUCUUGACAUCCCCCUGAAUAUAGAGGUAAUGCUUUAUAGCCUUUCGGGGCAGGGGAGACAGGUGGUGCAUGGUUGUCGUCAGCUCGUGUCGUGAGAUGUUGGGUUAAGUCCCGCAACGAGCGCAACCCUUAUCCUUAGUAGCCAGCAGUAAGAUGGGCACUCUAGGGAGACUGCCAGGGACAACCUGGAGGAAGGCGGGGAUGACGUCAAAUCAUCAUGCCCCUUAUGACUUGGGCUACACACGUGCUACAAUGGCGUAAACAAAGGGAAGCGGCCCCGUGAGGGUGAGCAAAUCCCAAAAAUAACGUCUCAGUUCGGAUUGUAGUCUGCAACUCGACUACAUGAAGCUGGAAUCGCUAGUAAUCGCGGAUCAGAAUGCCGCGGUGAAUACGUUCCGC
rnacentral:rRNA from 1 species